rnacentral:rRNA from 1 species
CCUACGGGAGGCAGCAGUGAGGAAUAUUGGACAAUGGGCGAAAGCCUGAUCCAGCCACGCCGCGUGCAGGAUGAAGUCCCCCUGGGGCGUAAACUGCUUUUAUAUGGGAAUAAAAAGAUGGUCGCCAUUAUUGAAGGUACCAUAUGAAUAAGCACCGGCUAACUACGUGCCAGCAGCCGCGGUAAUACGUAGGGUGCAAGCGUUGUCCGGAAUCAUUGGGUGUAAAGGGUGCGUAGGCGGAUUGGUAAGUCAGAGGUGAAAGCCCGUAGCUUAACUACGGAACUGCCUUUGAUACUGCCAGUCUUGAGUCCUGGAGAGGUUACUGGAAUUCGUGGUGUAGCAGUGAAAUGCGUAGAUAUCACGAGGAAUACCCGAAGCGUAGGCGAGUAACUGGACAGGUACUGACGCUCAGGCACGAAAGCGUGGGGAGCAAACAGGAUUAGAUACCCUGGUAGUCCACGCUGUAAACGAUGAACACUCGACGUUGGCCCUGUAUGGGGUCAGUGUCUAAGCUAACGCGUUAAGUGUUCCACCUGGGGAGUACGAUCGCAAGGUUGAAACUCAAAGGAAUUGACGG